CCUUGAAAUACCACCCUUUAAUGUUUGAUGUUCUAACGUGGACCCGUGAUCCGGGUUGCGGACAGUGUCUGGUGGGUAGUUUGACUGGGGCGGUCUCCUCCUAAAGAGUAACGGAGGAGCACGAAGGUUGGCUAAUCCUGGUCGGACAUCAGGAGGUUAGUGCAAUGGCAUAAGCCAGCUUGACUGCGAGCGUGACGGCGCGAGCAGGUGCGAAAGCAGGUCAUAGUGAUCCGGUGGUUCUGAAUGGAAGGGCCAUCGCUCAACGGAUAAAAGGUACUCCGGGGAUAACAGGCUGAUACCGCCCAAGAGUUCAUAUCGACGGCGGUGUUUGGCACCUCGAUGUCGGCUCAUCACAUCCUGGGGCUGAAGUAGGUCCCAAGGGUAUGGCUGUUCGCCAUUUAAAGUGGUACGCGAGCUGGGUUUAGAACGUCGUGAGACAGUUCGGUCCCUAUCUGCCGUGGGCGCUGGAGAACUGAGGGGGGCUGCUCCUAGUACGAGAGGACCGGAGUGGACGCAUCACUGGUGUUCGGGUUGUCAUGCCAAUGGCACUGCCCGGUAGCUAAAUGCGGAAGAGAUAAGUGCUGAAAGCAUCUAAGCACGAAACUUGCCCCGAGAUGAGUUCUCCCUGAGACUUAGAGUCUCCUGAAGGAACGUUGAAGACGACGACGUUGAUAGGCCGGGUGUGUAAGCGCAGCGAUGCGUUGAGCUAACCGGUACUAAUGAACCGUGAGGCUUAACCUUACAACGCCGAAG
rnacentral:rRNA from 3 species